rnacentral:ncRNA from 2 species
UAUGUUAUAGGGAACGAUGAUUCAUAUAUUUAUUUGGGCACUUUAUAUGUGAUGAGUUAAUAGUGCAACCGACCUUUAUAGUU